rnacentral:tRNA from 1 species
CUUCUAGUGGCGUAGCGGCAACGCGCCUGUCUAGUGAGUAGGAGUCGUGAGUUCGAGUCUCACCGAGAGGA